rnacentral:snoRNA from 1 species
UGGAUCAGCGAUGACAAACUGCGGCAUUUGAGUCAUGGAUGAUGCAUAAUAUGUGCAUGGAAGCCUGAGGUCACA